rnacentral:rRNA from 1 species
AUUGAACGCUGGCGGCAUGCCUUACACAUGCAAGUCGAGCGACCGCAUGGGUGCUUGCCUCUUCUGGCGUUUGGCGCGGGGGUGUGAGUUACAUCUGGACAUGUCCUGUAGUGGGGGAUAGCCCGUCCAAAGCCGGAUUACUACCGCAUACUAUCUACGUAUGACAGCUGGUUACCUUCGGGCCGCGCGUUUUCCGGUUAGUCGAUGGCUGAUUAGCUAGUUGGUGGGGUAAAGGCCUACCAAGGCGACGAUCAGUAGCUGGUCUGAGAGGACGAUCAGCCACACUGGGACUGAGACACGGCCCAGACUCCUACGGGAGGCAGCAGUGGGGAAUUUUGGACAAUGGGCGAAAGCCUGAUCCAGCAAUGCCGCGUGUGUGAAGAAGGCCUUCGGGUUGUAAAGCACUUUUGUCCGGAAAGAAAUACUUGGCCAUAAUACGGUCGGGGGAUGACGGUACCGGAAGAAUAAGCACCGGCUAACUACGUG